UAAUCUGCCUCUGGCUUCGGGAUAGCCACCGGAAACGGUGAUUAAUACCGGAUAUGACAUCUUCACGCAUGUGAUGGGUGUGGAAAGUUUUUUCGGCCAGGGAUGUGCUCGCGGCCUAUCAGCUUGUUGGUGGGGUAAUGGCCUACCAAGGCUUCGACGGGUAGCCGGCCUGAGAGGGUGACCGGCCACACUGGGACUGAGACACGGCCCAGACUCCUACGGGAGGCAGCAGUGGGGAAUAUUGGACAAUGGGCGGAAGCCUGAUCCAGCAACGCCGCGUGAGGGAUGACGGCCUUCGGGUUGUAAACCUCUUUCAGCACAGACGAAGCGCAAGUGACGGUAUGUGCAGAAGAAGGACCGGCCAACUACGUGCCAGCAGCCGCGGUAAUACGUAGGGUCCGAGCGUUGUCCGGAAUUAUUGGGCGUAAAGGGCUCGUAGGCGGUUUGUCGCGUCGGGAGUGAAAACACCGGGCUUAACUCGGUGCUUGCUUUCGAUACGGGCAGACUAGAGGCAUUCAGGGGAGAACGGAAUUCCUGGUGUAGCGGUGAAAUGCGCAGAUAUCAGGAGGAACACCGGUGGCGAAGGCGGUUCUCUGGGAAUGUCCUGACGCUGAGGAGCGAAAGUGUGGGGAGCGAACAGGAUUAGAUACCCUG
rnacentral:rRNA from 1 species